rnacentral:misc_RNA from 1 species
GCAAGAAUCCUCCAUUGCAAAGUCAUUUUGAACAAUAGCCGACUUUAAAUUAUAGAAGCGGGUCCGCAGUACGUCUAGGUGUUUUCUCAAUUGAUUAUUAUUGAAAUUUAGAUCUGUCUGCUUAUUGAACUCAUCACGUAUGUGAUUCCAAGUUUUCUUAUCAAAAACAUUGUUUGGUCUAUUUCCAAGUUGAAUAUGUUUCACCACCAAGUCUG